rnacentral:lncRNA from 1 species
CUUCAGAGGACUGCAGCCACCAUUCUACCAGACUGCUACCACCACCCUGCCUAACAGGGUGUCAGGUUGUACCUUGACUCUGUCAGUUUGAUAGUGUUUUCUUUUACCUUUUUUUUCUCCUUUUCUUUAAUUUCCAUUAAAUUGUUAUUCUGACUUGGUGCCUCCCACUGGUUUGUUUUCAAACUAGCACAUAAUUUGGCGCCCAAUGUGGGGCAGCUCUGAGAGAAAGUCAGAAUUACAAUUUUGUGUUAACGGAAACCUAUUCACCAUGGUGCUCAGCUUGUCUAUGUGGGUACUGUAUCUUGCUCUCUAUAUUUUUCCUCACAUGGGGAACUACCUGCCUGUAGUAUUACUCCUGUUAAAACCAGGGAAUGGUAUGAGAAUUGCUUUAAUGGUUUAUUAUGUCUACAGCAUAAUAACCUGUGAGGCGAUGAAUACCAUUCAGAGUAUAUACUCAGUUUUGUUUGGCUGUCCUAGUCUGGGCUCCUAUGUCUGGGAUCUCCUCAACAAUCGCACCCAGCCCCUGGUGGGAGGAGUAGAGAGUGGUUUCUUCCAGCCUUUCAGGCCAGGCACAGCAGUUUUUGAAAAUAUUGAAUUCCCUCUGGAUGUCAAAGACGGCAUAAACUUGCUGUCAGUUCUGCUUUGUCUUCUCUGUACAGCCUGCACCAUGUACACCAUGCUUAGAAUCAGAGCUAUGGCACAGCAUCCUCAGGAUGAGGGAGGGAAAAAGAGCAGAGCAACAAACACCAUGCCUACGCAGACUGACACAGAGGAGAAAGGAACCAAAUGCAAAGCAACAGCGUCCAUGUCUACGCAGACUGUCACCGAGGAGAAAGAACCCAGAUGCAAGACAACAGCGUCCAUGUCUACGCAGACUGACACAGAGGAGAAAGAACCCAGACACAAGACAACAGCGUCCAUGUCCACGCAGACUGACACAGAGGAGAAAGAACCCAGACACAAGACAACAGCGUCCAUGUCCACGCAGACUGACACAGAGGAGAAAGAACCCAGACACAAGACAACAGCGUCCAUGUCCACGCAGACUGACACAGAGGAGAAGGGAACCAAAAGCACUGUCAGCGUCCCCACGCAAACCAUCACUGAACCAGAACAGCCUAAACCGAUUGCAGUUGCCCCCGUGCAGAAGAAGAAAUCAAAAAGCAAAUCAGUCCGCAUAGUGACUGACGAGGAUGCAGCAGGACCUUCGCACCCAGCAGAAGAGGCAGAGCCAGAGAUCAUCACUCGGUCGCUAUCCCUGGGUGAGCUGCGAGACCUGCGGAGGGAAUUCACCCGCCAGACGAACGAGUCUAUCCUGACCUGGCUGCUCCGCAUCUGGGACGCUGCAGCCAAUGACACCAUUCUGGACGGAAGUGAGGCCAGGCAACUGGGAUCUCUGUCCCGGGAUGUGGUCAUUGACCAGGGGAUCGGGAGAACCCAAGAAACCCUCAGCCUCUGGCGGCGACUGCUUACAAGUGUAAGGGACAGGUACCUUUGUAAAGAAGACCUUCAGGUGCACCAAGGAAAAUGGAGCACAAUGGAACAAGGUAUCCGGUGCCUGAGGGAAUUGGCUGUGCUGGAGAUCAUUUUCUCAGAAGAUGAGAGAUUUCCUAAGAGCCCAGAUGGUGUCCAGUGC